AGCGAACGCUGGCGGCAGGCCUAACACAUGCAAGUCGAACGAAGCCUUCGGGCUUAGUGGCGGACGGGUGAGUAACACGUGGGAACGUACCUUUUGGUUCGGAAUAACGCAGAGAAAUUUGCGCUAAUACCGAAUGAGCCCUUCGGGGGAAAGAUUUAUCGCCGAAAGAUCGGCCCGCGUUGGAUUAGGUAGUUGGUGUGGUAAAGGCGCACCAAGCCUACGAUCCAUAGCUGGUCUGAGAGGAUGAUCAGCCACACCGGGACUGAGACACGGCCAAGACUCCUACGGGAGGUAGCAGUGGGGAAUCUUGCGCAAUGGGCGAAAGCCUGACGCAGCCAUGCCGCGUGAAUGAUGAAGGUCUUAGGAUUGUAAAAUUCUUUUACCAGGGACGAUAAUGACGGUACCUGGAGAAAAAGCCACGGCUAACUCCGUGCCAGCCGCCGCCGUAAUAC
rnacentral:rRNA from 1 species